rnacentral:rRNA from 1 species
AACGAACGCUGGCGGCAUGCCUAACACAUGCAAGUCGAACGAGACCUUCGGGUCUAGUGGCGCACGGGUGCGUAACGCGUGGGAACCUGCCCUUAGGUUCGGAAUAACUCCCCGAAAGGGGUGCUAAUACCGGAUAAUGUCUUCGGACCAAAGAUUUAUCGCCUUUGGAUGGGCCCGCGUUGGAUUAGCUAGUUGGUAGGGUAAAAGCCUACCAAGGCGACGUUCCAUAGCUGGUCUGAGAGGAUGAUCAGCCACACUGGGACUGAGACACGGCCCAGACUCGUACGGGAGGCAGCAGUGGGGAAUAUUGGACAAUGGGCGAAAGCCUGAUCCAGCAAUGCCGCGUGAGUGAUGAAGGCCUUAGGGUUGUAAAGCUCUUUUACCCGGGAUGAUAAUGACAGUACCGGGAGAAUAAGCUCCGGCUAACUCCGUG